UAUGGCCACACCACGUUGAAACACCGGUUCACGCACGAUCGCCGAAUUUAAGCAAAGUCGAGCCUGGUCAAUACCUAGAUGGCUGAGCUUUUGGGAAUACCAGGUGCU